rnacentral:rRNA from 1 species
UUAAUUUGAGAGUUUGAUCCUGGCUCAGGACGAACGCUGGCGGCGUGCCUAAUACAUGCAAGUCGAACGAACUCUGGUAUUGAUUGGUGCUUGCAUCAUGAUUUACAUUUGAGUGAGUGGCGAACUGGUGAGUAACACGUGGGAAACCUGCCCAGAAGCGGGGGAUAACACCUGGAAACAGAUGCUAAUACCGCAUAACAACUUGGACCGCCAUGGUCCGAGUUUGAAGAUGGCUUCGGCUAUCACUUUUGGAUGGUCCCGCGGCGUAUUAGCUAGAUGGUGGGGUAACGGCUCACCAUGGCAAUGAUACGUAGCCGACCUGAAGAGGGUAAUCGGCCACAUUGGGACUGAGACACGGCCCAAACUCCUACGGGAGCAGCAGUAGGGAAUCUUCCACAAUGGACGAAAGUCUGAUGGAGCAACGCCGCGUGAGUGAAGAAGGGUUUCGGCUCGUAAAACUCUGUUGUUAAAGAAGAACAUAUCUGAGAGUAACUGUUCAGGUAUUGACGGUAUUUAACCAGAAAGCCACGGCUAACUACGUGCCAGCAGCCGCGGUAAUACGUAGGUGGCAAGCGUUGUCCGGAUUUAUGGGCGUAAAAGCGAGCGCAGGCGGUUUUUUAAGUCUGAUUGUGAAAGCCUCGGCUCAACCGAAGAAGUGCAUCGGAAACUGGGAAACUUGAGUGCAGAAGAGGACAGUUGGAACUCCAUGUGUAGCGGUGAAAUGCGUAGAUAUAUGGAAGAACACCAGUGGCGAAGGCGGCUGUCUGGUCUGUAACUGACGCUGAGGCUCGAAAGUAUGGGUAGCAAACAGAUUAGAUACCCUGGUAGUCCAUACCGUAAACGAUGAAUGCUAAGUGUUGGAGGGUUUCCGCCCUUCAGUGCUGCAGCUAACGCAUUAAGCAUUCCGCCUGGGGAGUACGGCCGCAAGGCUGAAACUCAAAGGAAUUGACGGGGGCCCGCACAAGCGGUGGAGCAUGUGGUUUAAUUCGAAGCUACGCGAAGAACCUUACCAGGUCUUGACAUACUAUGCAAAUCUAAGAGAUUAGACGUUCCCUUCGGGGACAUGGAUACAGGUGGUGCAUGGUUGUCGUCAGCUCGUGUCGUGAGAUGUUGGGUUAAGUCCCGCAACGAGCGCAACCCUUAUUAUCAGUUGCCAGCAUUAAGUUGGGCACUCUGGUGAGACUGCCGGUGACAAACCGGAGGAAGGUGGGGAUGACGUCAAAUCAUCAUGCCCCUUAUGACCUGGGCUACACACGUGCUACAAUGGAUGGUACAACGAGUUGCGAACUCGCGAGAGUAAGCUAAUCUCUUAAAGCCAUUCUCAGUUCGGAUUGUAGGCUGCAACUCGCCUACAUGAAGUCGGAAUCGCUAGUAAUCGCGGAUCAGCAUGCCGCGGUGAAUACGUUCCCGGGCCUUGUACACACCGCCCGUCACACCAUGAGAGUUUGUAACACCCAAAGUCGGUGGGGUAACCUUUUAGGAACCAGCCGCCUAAGGUGGGACAGAUGAUUAGGGUGAAGUCGUAACAAGGUAGCCGUAGGAGAACCUGCGGCUGGAUCACCUCCUUUCUAAGGAA